rnacentral:rRNA from 1 species
AAUGAACGUUGGCGGCGUGGAUUAGGCAUGCAAGUCGAGCGGCAAGGUAGCUUCGGCUACCCUAGAGCGGCGAAAGGGAUAGUACAAUAUAGAUAACGUGCCUCUCAGCUCAGGAUAGCGUCUGGAAACGGACGAUAAUACUGAAUGCAGUCUUCGGACUAAAGGUGCGAUUCCGCUGAGAGAUCGGUCUAUAGCCUAUUAGUUAGUUGGCAGGGUAAUGGCCUACCAAGACUUUGAUGGGUACGGGGCGUGAGAGCGCGACCCCGAUCACUGGGACUGAGACACUGCCCAGACGCCUACGGGCGGCUGCAGUCGAGAAUCUUCGGCAAUGGACGGAAGUCUGACCGAGCGACGCCGCGUGUAUGAGGAAGGCCUUCGGGUUGUAAAGUACUGUCGAUUGGGAGGAAAUGAAAUAGGGCUAUCCUUAUUUUUUGACCUAUCAUUUGAGGAAGGACGGGCUAAGUUCGUGCCAGCAGCCGCGGUAAGACGAACUGUUCGAACGUUAUUCGGAAUCACUGGGCUUAAAGGGCAUGUAGGCGGCGUUAUAAGCGAGGUCUGAAAUCCCGCGGCUUAACCCGCGGAAUUGGGCUU